ACGGAAGGCAGCAGUGGGGAAUAUUGCACAAUGGGCGAAAGCCUGAUGCAGCGACGCCGCGUGAGCGAAGAAGUAUUUCGGUAUGUAAAGCUCUAUCAGCAGGGAAGAUAAUGACGGUACCUGACUAAGAAGCACCGGCUAAAUACGUGCCAGCAGCCGCGGUAAUACGUAUGGUGCAAGCGUUAUCCGGAUUUACUGGGUGUAAAGGGAGCGCAGGCGGUGCGGCAAGUCUGAUGUGAAAGCCCGGGGCUCAACCCCGGUACUGCAUUGGAAACUGUCGUACUAGAGUGUCGGAGGGGUAAGCGGAAUUCCUAGUGUAGCGGUGAAAUGCGUAGAUAUUAGGAGGAACACCAGUGGCGAAGGCGGCUUACUGGACGAUAACUGACGCUGAGGCUCGAAAGCGUGGGGAGCAAACAGGAUUAGAUACCCUGGUA
rnacentral:rRNA from 1 species